UUUCUCUCUCUCUCAUCUUCCCCUUCCUCAGAAAGAAAAACCCUAACUCAAGCUGCGCCUCCCUUAGAAAAAAAAACCCUCACUCAAGAUUUGUUUAACCAGUGAUUUAACAAAGGAAUCAGUUUCAGUAUGAAGCAAAUCAGAAAUCCUACAUCUGAAGAAACGAAACCAAAUCUCAAAUUCAGAGAAGAAAGAAAAGAAGCCAUGGCGGCUCCAUAACUCAGAGAAAUCGAGAAGAUGAAGAUUAAUCUGCUACUGUGGGUCUGGUUAUUUUGAGAUGCAAGAGACGAAGAAAAGACGAUGGAAAUUGCUAGAGAGACCAGUCUUUCUGUUGAUGAAGAAAUCAGAUCGAGAUGAAAUUGGUUCGAAUGAAUUGCAAGAGCUGAAAGAACACAACCAAACUCUUCACUGAUUUGAACCCUAACUUGGUCGUUAUCAUCUUCACUGAAAUCUGGGUAACUGCCCAUACGACCAACACACUAAAACCCCUAUAAAUCUGUUUCCUUCGCUGCUGUAUCUCUCAGACAAACCCAUUCCGGAUCUGGGUUUAGAAAUCCCCAAAUUGAUUGGAAUCUCUGGCUCAAACACCCAUCAAUUCCAUCCAGCAAACUCAUUAUCAAUAUCAAAUCCACCUUCAGCUGCCUUGUCAAACCUUAGUUCUCUCAAGAACAACGAAUUCCAGUUUGAUUUCAUCGAUUCAUAAAUUUAUUUUGCGUGUGUGUUUGAAGAUUAAAUUUUUUUUAAAAAAAUAUUUAAGGGUUCGUGAAAUGGGGGUGUUGGAGGGUGAGAGUGGCGGUUCAUCACCGUCUAUGUCAAUGGUGAAGAAGAAGCUUGGUGUUACAAAUCCAAUUUCAAUUGCUGGUCCGACUGAAUCUGAUUUGCAGAGAAGCUUAGAAUUGGAGAAGUUUUUGGUUGAUUCUGGAUUAUACGAAAGUAAAGAAGAAGCUGCUCAAAGAGAAGAGAUUCUGAGUCAGAUCAAUCAGUUGUGGAUUUAGUUGUUAAUUCGGGACCUUCGUAGUUGAGCUUCUGGAUCUUUAUCAUUGGAUGGAUUUAUUGUUAUUAACAAGUGUUUGGGGCUUCAAUUUUAUCUGUGAUUUUGUUGUUAGUAAAAUGUGUGGUUGAUUUUGAUGUUUCAUAUGGUUUUGAUGUUAAAUUGAUAAUGUUGAAAUCUCUCAGUUAGAUUAGCAUUGUUGGGGACAAGUGAUUGGGAUUUAUUGUUAUCCCAACCACUUUGGUCUAAGGUCUAUUGCAAAUGGGUACAAAUUACAUUGUUAAAGAUUGAAUUAAUAACUAUGCACGACUGUAGUAGUGCCUUUAGCCUCAGAUGGUGUAUUUUCUGUAGUAGUGCUCGGUGGUGUUCUAGUUUCCAUGUAUGUAUGGCCAUCGUAUUGGAUAAAAUGAGGUAAGGCACUACAUUUCUAUUGGAUUGAUCUUUGAAAGCCGUGGUGUUGGUUAGCUAGUAUUUGGUCGGGUCAUGGAUUGUUUGGAUUUUAGUUUGGUUACUUACAGUUGAUCCUAACAUGAUUCUAUGGAUAGUAAAUGUACAUUUGUUUCAAGUCGAAACUUUCAUUUGUUUUCAAUGAUUUUCAAAGGGUGUGCAUCAAAAUGUUUACCACAUGGACUUGGGUACUGUUGACUUUAAAGCAAGUACUCCUGCCAACACCUGACUAUGCACGAAUAGUUUCUUGAUUACUGGAUGUGGGUUUUUAUAAUCUUGUGUUUCAUGCUACUGCUGAUACAUAGUGUACAAACCAUUGCUUUAUAGCUUAUACAUUUAGUGGCGAUACCGUUAAGUACUUGUUUCAUAUAGUGGAUUAAUGGGAUAUAUAAAAGUGCAUUCUUUUAUUUACAUAAUAGUGUUUUGUUAUUGCCUUUUUAAUUUAUUUGCAAUGUGUUAGUCAGGGGAGAAAUAAGAAGAAGAAUUGGUUUGAAAUUUAUUUAUUUUUACUUCUCUUUUAUUAUUACAAGUCAGUUGAUGCUUUUGUUUGGUUGCAAUGAAACUGCAGGUGCGUUGCAGUGAGGUUGAUGGAGAUUGCAAGGGGUCUGAUGUUGAUACUGGGAGCUCGUGAUGAUUGCAGGUUAGGCUUGUUAGCUGAGCUUGAGUUGACAUGAAAUUGGAACUGUAUGAAUGAAUGGAUUGUAGUGGAGAUGCAGAGAUGAAGUUGUAGGGAAAUUGCAGAUGCCGGUGGUCACAAUGGCUGCGACAAUGUGUUUGAGGACUUGAUUGAUUUCUGUAAAGACACUGGACUGCAGUCAAGUACGACUGCCACAAGAAAUUCAAUUAUUAAGAUGAUCGGCUCAUUGUUUAACUUAGUUGCCCCAGAUAUCAAAGGGUUUAUGUCUUAUGUGAGCACUCGAGGCAGAGUAUGAAAACAAUCCAUUCGAGGUAUAUAAGCUCAUUGCUUAACUGUGUUUUUUGCGCUUCAUCCUCUUGCGCUUAUUUUUUUCGUCUUGCAACACCCACAGUAAGAUUCCAAGGGUUAAGAGAUGAUUUUUGAAGGUGAGAGAGAAUAGCUAGAGGGGUUUUACUGAACCAGAAGUGUUAUUAGAUUAUUUUUUUCAGUGUUGAAGUUCUGUAAAACUGAUCUUCUGUAGUAACAAACAAUAGUGAUUAUAAUUGGAAAUCUGAUCUUGUUUCAUGGUUAUUUAA